CCAGACUCCUACGGGAGGCAGCAGUGAGGAAUAUUGGUCAAUGGGCGGAAGCCUGAACCAGCCAAGUCGCGUGAGGGAAUAAGGCCCUACGGGUCGUAAACCUCUUUUGCCGGGGAGCAAGGGCGGGGACGUGUCCCGGCCCGGAGAGUACCCGGAGAAAAAGCAUCGGCUAACUCCGUGCCAGCAGCCGCGGUAAUACGGAGGAUGCGAGCGUUAUCCGGAUUUAUUGGGUUUAAAGGGUGCGUAGGCGGGUUUUUAAAGCCAGGGGAAAACGCGGGGGCCCCACCCCCGCCCCGCCGUUGAAACUGGCAGUCUCGAGUUGGAGAGAAGUAUGCGGAAUGCGCGGUGUAGCGGUGAAAUGCAUAGAUAUCGCGCAGAACUCCGAUUGCGAAGGCAGCAUGCCGGCUCCACACUGACGCUGAGGCACGAAAGCGUGGGUAUCGAACAGGAUUAGAUACCCGGGUA
rnacentral:rRNA from 1 species